UAGCAUUGAUAAAGUAGGGUCUGCAAUU
rnacentral:sRNA from 1 species